rnacentral:misc_RNA from 1 species
GUGUUUCUGUCGGCAAGAACGAACGAAGAGCACACUACGCAACUAUUUAGAAUUCAAGGAUAUUUUUCUCUCAUUUUCCUGGAAAGUUUACUCAAAAAAUGAUGAAGAGAGGGUCGAAUGUGUAUGGUAUAAUGAGUGAUAGCUCGGCUUCGACGACGACGAUAACUUCGUCGUCGUCCUUUACGUUGAGAGAUGAAUGCGUAGAGUGGGAGAUGAGACCAGGAGGAAUGCUGGUCCAGAAAAGAAACGAAAAGAUCGAAGUUCCACCUACUAUCUUACGCCUCCGAGUAUCGUACGGUGCUCUCCGAUACGAGAUCUCGGUGAAUUCUCAAGCAACUUUUGGGGAGUUGAAGAAGCUUCUAAUGGCGGAGACAGGAUUACCGCCGGCUGAUCAGAGGCUAAUGUACAAAGGAAAAGAACGCGAAAAUGGACAAUAUCUGGACACGUGCGGAGUCAAAGAUCGAUCAAAAGUCAUACUAAUCGAGGACCCAGCAAGCAUAGAGAGAAGAUACAUUCAGAUGCGUAAAAACUCCAGGAUCCAGAGCGCUCAUCGUGCCAUCUCUAGCGUAACCAUGGAGGUUGAUAAGCUUGCAGAGCAGGUGACCACCACCCAUUUUAAUUUUCUUGAAUUUUUUUAUGAACUUCUAAAAAUUAUUAUUGGGUCAAAACUUGGAGUGGGUGACGGUGACUGUCACAAUCAAAACAGCCUGGCUUAGAAUCUUGACAAAUUGGGUUAAUUUGGAGUUUGUGGCUAUGGCCUUUUGAGAAAGAUCGAUGGAGAGGCUCCUGACUCCUGUGUACUAUCCACUUAUAUCAGCAGCUUUAUGGGCCAAUAAAGUCUGGCAAUUCUAGGGUAGUGACUGCUAUUGCUAGGAAUGCAAAUUUUCCUCCGUGUCCCUCGUAAUCCUUGUCAGCUAUUGCAUAUCGGAAAUAUGAUCCCAGCCUAGGCAAUGCAUGGCCCUGUUCAAGUUUAGUUUUUUCCAUUGAAGUCAGUUAAAUUGAAGCUUCAUUUUCUUAUUGUGUUGCAGGUUUCUGCAAUUGAAAAAUCUAUCUCUAGUGGAAUUAAGGUGCCAGAAGUUCAAAUCACAACAUUAAUUGAGAUGCUCAUGAGACAGGCACUUAAGCUAGAUAGCAUUUCUGCAGAAGGAGAUGCUGCUUGUCUCAAAAUUUUGCAGGUAUAUUUGCAAUGCCUUUCCCUCUUUAAUGUUUGUUUAACCCAUAUUACUAUAGCAUAAGUGCCACUAUUUGCCUUAGGCAUUGCAGAAGCAUAGAAGAAAACUAAUUCAUGAUACCAUUACCUGCCAAAAUAAUAAUAAUAAUGCUAGCGUUGGUAAAAGAGUCUUUUAAGAAGUGCAAAAAUGACAUUGGAAUUGAUUUAUGCAGAGUAAGAGAGUGCAGAAGUGUGUGGAAACUCUUGAUGUGCUAAAGAUAUCCAAUGCAAAAGUAAAGCCUGUUAUUGCCACAACUAAAUGGGAGACCUUUGAUCCUCCUUCGGCCUUGGCUCAGUGGGAAAUUUUUUAUUGAUUUUCCCCACACUUUUCAUUUUCUUUUUUUCAUUCGUCUCUAGCUCUAGCUCCAGAGAAACAUUAGCAAACUACUCCACUUGUACCUGAAAGUUCUUCAGUUCCUCAAGAACUUCGUCAAUAAGCGUUGGUGAUUAUAAUUUCAUAUGAUUGGAGUUUUAUGGAAACACAAUAUUAUGAUAACUCUAUCGGAAAAUUACUCGACGAUUAUUUUAUUUGAUGCAUAUGCUAAGGGAGAAAUUCAACAAUGAAAGCUCUUCCUUUAAUUUUUACUAAAUUAG